GCCAUUAAUUGUCUAUUUGGCCAUGCCUUCCCUGCCAUCAUGAACUGAAAAACCUUCCCCUCUUGAAGCUGUUUCUCAGGUUUGGCCACCCAGAUACUCUGUUGCAACCAUGAUCCAAUGGAGCAUGGCAACUGCUCAAAUGGGCAGCAGAAUUCGGUAGUGCUGAGUUGUGGCGUUGUAUAAUCAUCCUUAAAGAUUCCAACGAAGAGCCUGUGAUGCCAGGCAACGAGUUGUACGGUUGGAGUCCCGGCAACUUCCCUAUGGACCUGUGAAGGUGAGUUCCAAGUUGUGGUGGAGACACUAGGAUGUCUGAGAUGCCAGGAAUGUGGGUGUCUGCUGAGGACAACUGUAGGUACCAAAUGGAACCAGACCAAGACAGAGGCUGUAUGUGCUGUAAACGGCAGAAGCUCUGGAGAUAGUGCCAUCUAGGUCUGUUGGAGCUCACGUCAUGAUACCAUGCCACUGGAUGUUGGACAUGGAGCUAAUGGUGAUAUAGGGUUUAAUAUUUUCCUUAGUGGCCUUGCUUUGAUCCUUCCCCUUCUUCUUCUUCUUCUUCUUCUUCUUCUUCUUCUUCUUCUUCUUCUUCUUCUUCUUCUUCUUCUUCUUCUUCUUCGAGACAGGGUUUCUCCGUGUAGCUUUGGAGCCUAUCCUGGCACUUGCUCUGGAGACCAGGCUGUCCUCGAACUCACAGAGAUCCGCCUGCCUCUGCCUCCUGAAUGCUGGAAUUAAAGGCAUGUGCCACCAACACCCGGCCUUCCCUUUCUUCUUAUACAAGUAUUCCUCCAUUUUUGAAAUGGAAUGUUUACUCCAUACUAUUGUACAUUGGAAAUUCAUAACCUUCUCUUUUACUUUACAAGGACUCACAGCUAAGGGAUUACUUUGAGUCUCCAUAGAGAUUCCAGACAGACUUUAGAAUAAUGUUGGAAAUGUUAAGAUUGUGUGGACACUUGAAGUUGGACUACACUUUACAUGACAAAAUUUAGCACCAUAAGCAUUUGGGGGCUGGGGUGGAGCAUUAUGGUUUGGAUGUGAGGUGUCUCAUGUUUUGAAUAUUUGGUCCCCAACUGCUGGUGUUAGAGAGGUUCUCCAAAGUUCGGGAAGUGGAGUUUACCUAGAGGAGGGUUUCUAGGGCAGGUCAUUGAGGGUGUGUUAUCCCUGCCCACUUCCUCCCUUGAUGUCUGCUCCUCAGUCCACCUCGAUAUGAACAACCUCCAUCACACUCACCCAUCCCUGCCAUGGCUUGAACCACUGGCAUACGUUCCCCAUCACCAUCCAUUGAAACCAUCUGAAACAGUGAGCCAAAAGAAAUCCUUCCUCUUCUGAGUGGUUUCUGUCAGGUGUCCUGGUGACAGCAGCAGUAAAGUAACUGAUACAGUGAGUCCCCUAUUCGCCUGAUCUUCUGAAGUCACAGCCUCUUGACAUAUUCACAUGAAGCUGUUGCAUGAAGCUCUUUUAUUUAUUAUUUAUUUUUAAUUUUUUCUCUUCU
rnacentral:lncRNA from 1 species